rnacentral:lncRNA from 1 species
ACUCCGCCCUCCGUGGACCGAAACCGGCCUCGCCGCUGUUGGGUGUCUUGCCCCCCCCCCCCCUGGCCGCCGGGGCGUCUCCCGUCCGCGGCCUUUCCCGAAAGCCCGCCCCCGUCCGUCGUCCGUCUUGCCGACCCGGUGCCGCGCUCCCCGGGGCGCCCGGCGCUUCCCGGGCCCGCUGCGGCCUUCCCGCCCGCGUCCGCCGCUCGCCCCCGCCCCCCCGGCGGUGGCGUUGUGUGGUGACGAGGGGCCGCCGUCGUCUCCCGCCGCCCCCCACCCCCGCCGGCCGCGUCCCCGCCCUGGCGCGCGCGUGCCCCGGGCGUGGGUCGGGUCCCCGGCGUCCGCUCGCCGUUGGCCGUCCGCGGCCCCGCGCGCGUCUCCCCGGUGGCGGGGAGGGGUUCGGGCUCUGGCCCGGCGCCCCGCCUCCGUCCCGCGUGAGCGCGUGCUCGGCCCGCUGCCGGCCCCGGCGCGACCGCCGGGCGUCCCCGUCCCCCGCCCGCGGGCCGCCGCCGCCGCCAUCGGGGCCGUCCGGAGGGGGAGAGGGUGGCGGGUGAAGCGCCCUCGUCUCCCCGCGCCGCCGCCGCCGAGGUGUGCGCGCCGCCCCGGUCCGUGGGGCGAGGACGGGGCCGCGUGAGGAGGAGGCAGGGGGAAGGAAGGGGCCGCGCCCGCCGCCGGGAGGCGCGGUGGAAGCGCGGCGGUGGCGGUGGGCGGGCCUGGCGUCGGUCGGUCGGGCGCCCGCCCGGAGGGGAAGGGAGGGGGUGUCGUCGGCGACGACGGCGUGUCGUGGGGGGGAGACGGGCCCCGCGCCCGCCUCCCUUUCUCGGACGUCGCCGUCCCGGCCCCCCCCCACCGUGUCCCUUCCGGGGGGGUCCGCCUCCUCCGUCUUGCCCGCUCGCCUGGGGCUGCCGCCGGGUCGUCCACUCGCCGCCCCCUCGGCGGCGGCGGCGGCGGCUCGUCCCCCUGCCCCUCCGGGGCCCCCCUCCCUUCCGCGGCCCGCCUUUCGCCUUCCGGCGCCGGUCGUUCCCCGGUCGCCGCGUCGCCCCGCACGGGGGUGCCCUCGGCGCGUCUCGGGACGCGUGCGACGCGGCGGCGGUGCCCUCCGCGGUGUCGUCGUCGUCCUCCUCCUGCGGGGGGGGGAGCGUCGGCUCGCGCGGGGGCGCCCGCCGCCCGGCGCGCGCCUCCCGCCGCCCGCCCUGGACGGUCCUCCGGUCAGGCGGGCGUCCGCGCCAUCUCCGCCCUCCCGCUCGUCGCCUCUCCCUCUCCCACCCCGGCCCACCCCCCGCCUCUGGGGCCUCGGGGCCCGGGUCCGGCUCUCCCCUUCUCCGUCGCCGCCCCCGCCGCCCCCCUCCCCUGGCCCUGCCCGCUCACGCCCCGCUUCCCGCUGCGGGCCCCCCCCCCGCCCUCCGUGGCGAGGCGGGGCCCGGGUCGCGGUUGUGGGGAGGGCCGGGGGUCGGCCGGCCGGGUGUUUUCUCCUAAGGCGAGGCGAGGUGGUGGCUCCCGGGGGUGUUCCUCGGAAGCGAGGGGAUCCGGCCGGCCCCGCCCCCGGUGGCUUUUGGGGGCGGGGGAGAGACCGGGGAGAGAGAGGGAGGCUGGCUGUCGGGCGGUGGCGGGGCCCGCGUCGCGGCGCCCGCCGGGCCCUGGUCCGUCACGGGCCGGCAGCGUCGGGGGGCUCGCGCCCCUCGCUUGGCGGUGUCGGCCGCGGCCGGCCGGGGGGAGGAUCGGCGUCGGGGCGGCGGCGGCGGCGGCCUUUGGCCUCGCUCCCCCGCGCCCCGCCUCGCCCGUCCCCCCCCACCCUCUGUCCAGGUACCUAGCGCGUCCCGGCGCGGAGGUUUAAAGACCCUUUGGGGGUCGCCCGUCCGCCUCGGGUCGGGGCGGUCGGGCCCGCGGGGAGGGUCAGUCCCCUCCUCCAGACUCCGCCGCCUCGGUCCCCGCCACCCCGUGGGGUGUGCGGGGGGGGGGGUCGCCACGCCACGUGCCCGGUCCACGCGGCCGCCGGGAGGGGGCUCGCCCCCUGCCCGGUGGCCGUCGUGCCGCGUCCGUGUGCGCGUGCGGCCGCCCCCCCCCCCGCGUCCCCGGUGUGGCGUGGGGCGGGGCAGGUGGGAACCCCCUGGGCGCCUGUGGGGUUGUCCUCGCUCGCCCCCCGCGCCCGCGCGUGCGCGGCGGGGGCGGCGGCCGGACGCCCCGUCGUUCGUCCGACCCUUCCGACCUUGUCGGAGUCUGAUCUCGUGGUCUCUGCUGGCCGGCCAGAGGCGCCCUCCGGGGAUGUGCCGUGCCAGGGAGGGGGGCUCUCCCCUCCGCUCGAAACUCGUACGACUCUUAGCGGUGGAUCACUCGGCUCGUGCGUCGAUGAAGAACGCAGCUAGCUGCGAGAAUUAAUGUGAAUUGCAGGACACAUUGAUCAUCGACACUUCGAACGCACUUGCGGCCCCGGGUUCCUCCCGGGGCUACGCCUGUCUGAGCGUCGCUUGGCGAUCAAUCGCCGCCCCUGGUGGCGGCGCGGCUGGGGGUUCCCUCGCAGGGCCCGGUCUGCCGGGCCCUCCGUCCCCCUAAGAGCAGACGCGGUGGCCGCCUCCGCGUGCCUCCCUCCUUCCCUCCCUCCCUCCCCCGCUCCCCUCCCGUGCCCUUCCGCCGCGCCCGGUCCCGGCCGCCCGCGCCCCCCGCCCCCGCACCCGUGCGGUGUGGUGCGGUGCGGUGCGUGGGGGCCGGGGACCGGGCCGGCGGCGGGGCCGUGGUGGGGCGGGCGGUGGGGCGGGGAUGUGGGGGUGACGUGAGAGGCGGUGCCCGCCCGCGAGAAAAGGAGAGAGGCGAGAG